UUUAGCCAUUUGAUUAAAUAAUGAGCACAAUCUUAUCAUGCUCUCUCAAUAGUUAAUUUUUUCCUCACUAUUUUCUCCAACCGUUCUCUCUCCUCAAUGUCUCUCUCACAAACCCUUUAGCCAUUAAAUAAUCUAAAACUAAAACAGAACUAAACGAAAAUUAAACAUUCAAUCCUAGAUUAAUUUUCUUUUGAAAACCAUUAAAUUUUAG
rnacentral:lncRNA from 1 species